UCCUUCGUCGCCGCGAGGGAAACCCCGCCGGGGAAACCUCGCACGACAGACACCUUGUCCGGGUGGCGGAAUGGCAGACGCGCUAGCU
rnacentral:tRNA from 1 species